rnacentral:rRNA from 1 species
GAUCAAAAGGAAAGGGCGUUCUUUUGUCAAUUAAAAGGGAUCCGCCCUUUUUAGCUAUUGGUAAGGUAACGGUUUCCAAGGCAACGAUUUGUACCGACUUGAAGGGGUAUUCGCCCCAACGGAAAUUGAACCCGGUCCAGAUUCUUAGGGAGGCAGCAGUAGGAAUUCUUCGGCAAUGGGGAAAGCCCGACGGAGCAACGCCGCUUGAGUGAUGAAGGUCUUCGGAUCGUAAAAUUCUGUUAUCAGGGAAGAACAAAUGUGUAAGUAACUGUGCACAUCUGGACGGUACUUGAUCAGAAAGCCACGGCUAAUUACGUGCCAGCAGCCGCGGUAAUACGUAGGUGGCAAGCGUUAUCCGGAAUUAUUGGGCGUAAAGCGCGCGUAGGCGGUUUUUUAAGUCUGAUGUGAAAGCCCACGGCUCAACCGUGGAGGGUCAUUGGAAACUGGAAAACUUGAGUGCAGAAGAGGAAAGUGGAAUUCCAUGUGUAGCGGUGAAAUGCGCAGAGAUAUGGAGGAACACCAGUGGCGAAGGCGACUUUCUGGUCUGUAACUGACGCUGAUGUGCGAAAGCGUGGGGAUCAAACAGGAUUAGAUACCCUGGUAGUCCACGCCGUAAACGAUGAGUGCUAAGUGUUAGGGGGUUUCCGCCCCUUAGUGCUGCAGCUAACGCAUUAAGCACUCCGCCUGGGGAGUACGACCGCAAGGUUGAAACUCAAAGGAAUUGACGGGGACCCGCACAAGCGGUGGAGCAUGUGGUUUAAUUCGAAGCAACGCGAAGAACCUUACCAAAUCUUGACAUCCUUUGACCGCUCUAGAGAUAGAGUCUUCCCCUUCGGGGGACAAAGUGACAGGUGGUGCAUGGUUGUCGUCAGCUCGUGUCGUGAGAUGUUGGGUUAAGUCCCGCAACGAGCGCAACCCUUAAGCUUAGUUGCCAUCAUUAAGUUGGGCACUCUAAGUUGACUGCCGGUGACAAACCGGAGGAAGGUGGGGAUGACGUCAAAUCAUCAUGCCCCUUAUGAUUUGGGCUACACACGUGCUACAAUGGACAAUACAAAGGGCAGCUAAACCGCGAGGUCAAGCAAAUCCCAUAAAGUUGUUCUCAGUUCGGAUUGUAGUCUGCAACUCGACUACAUGAAGCUGGAAUCGCUAGUAAUCGUAGAUCAGCAUGCUACGGUGAAUACGUUCCCGGGUCUUGUACACACCGCCCGUCACACCACGAGAGUUUGUAACACCCGAAGCCGGUGGAGUAACCAUUUAUGGAGCUAGCCGUCGAAAG